rnacentral:rRNA from 1 species
UACGUAGGUGACAAGCGUUGUCCGGAUUUACUGGGCGUAAAGAGCGCGCAGGCGGUCGUUCAAGUCGAGUGUGAAAGCCCCUGGCUCAACUGGGGAGGGUCAUUCGAUACUGAUCGACUCGAAGGCAGGAGAGGGUAGUGGAAUUCCCGGUGUAGUGGUGAAAUGCGUAGAUAUCGGGAGGAACACCAGUGGCGAAGGCGACUACCUGGCCUGUUCUUGACGCUGAGGCGCGAAAGCUAGGGGAGCAAACGGG